rnacentral:rRNA from 1 species
UACAGAGGUCUCAAGCGUUGUUCGGAAUCACUGGGCGUAAAGGGUGCGUAGGCCGCACGGUAAGUCAGAGGUGAAAAUCCCGGAGCUCAACUUCGGAAUUGCCUCCGAUACUGCCGGUGCUUGAGGACUGGAGAGGAGAUUGGAAUUCACAGUGGAGCAGUGAAAUGCGUAGAUAUUGUGAGGAACACUAGUGGCGAAGGCGAAUCUCUGGACAGUUCCUGACGCUGAGGCACGAAGGCCAGGGGAGCAAACGGG